CCUCUCCUGAAGGAGCUGAAAAUGUUUAUAUUUGAACAGUUUUAAUACCUGAGUGUGAAGGAGUUGAAAGGUGCGGCGGAAGAAACAGAAUAAGGUGAAAUAAAGAUUCGAAGAACAAUACUUGGAUUGCUUCAAAGCACUCCAACAAAUAUUGCUUUAAAAAUGUUCCAAUAUUACCAUCUGAUGAGUGUUACGAUAAAAAAAAACAUUGGACCGUGAACAACACACUGUCAGAGUGAUAGUAGUAGGAGAAACCUUAUUAAAAGGUUCUCAAAACCUCACCAAGGAAUUCCAAAUUGCCAGCCUGACUACUCAAACAUGAUGCAUUUUUAAUCUUCUUUUCCCCCAAAUUACAAAAAAGUAGAGAACAUUUUUGUUUUAAUUCUAAAUUUUAAACCUUCUCAGAACAAAUUGAAAAUACCUUGCCUCCACCUUUUGGCAUUGUCGUGCUGAUGGUUCUUCCUUCUUACAAAUAUUGUAUACAAAUAUUCACAGAAAUAGACUGUGGCAACCCACGGGCGCAGCACUCUGGACAGCGAAGAGAGCAGCACAAAGAGCAGGGGCACCGACGAGCAAGAGGUCAGGUGACCAGAAGGGGAAACACCCCGCCCCCUCAGGAGACAACGAGCGGCCCAGGUGCAGCUCAUAAGGCUGAUGAAGGUUGGCCACACUAUAAAAUACCAACCAUUCCAACAGCCCAGCAGACAAGACGAAGCGGCCGAACUAACCCGCCGAACCACACCCUCAAAAAAGGAAGAACCUAAGUUUCCAUUUUUUGUUACAAUAAAUCGUACCCUUUUCUUGUGCAACUA